ACAUUAAAAUCACCCACAGCUCUGUGUGGGAAGACAACAAAUACCAUUGCAGAUUCUGGAAUGACUGAUUCCAAACAAAUAUAUCCAUUCCCCACAUUGGGUUUGGACACGAGACCAGGCUGCAUGCUAAGGCAUUGUUUUUGGAUUUCUUAACUAUGAUUUUGGUCUAGUGGAAGCUGUCCUGUAAGGACAUCUCAGCUGCAAGACAGGUGACUGUGGGUGACUACAGAAGAAUCUCCGGAAGAGACACCCUGUGUCUCUUGCUCAGGGCAGGCCUUGGCAGUGCAGGUGUCUUUCCUCAUGCACAAGCCCCCUCUUCUCAGGAGUGGCACUGCUCCGAUCCCAUGGAGACGAGGCAUGGAGAGGGUGUUUGAUUUGUUUCAGAUUUGCUGAGCUUGCAGCCAGGUUUCUCUCCUCUUAGCAUUGCAGCCUCUUUAUACAAUGCCAAAGGUGAGCAGCCCUGCAGAGCUCAACCAAGCCCAGGUAGCAAGGGCCAACUCUCAUGCACAAAGCACCACACUGGGGCAGGUGAAGGAGGUGCUAUUCUCACAGAAGCAGACACAAAAGUGGCAUCUGGGCUCAGAGCUUCAUUUCUCAGCACAGAACACGGGUUAAAAUGACUUCCAGUGCCAGCUCAAGCUAAGAGUGCCGUGAGAUGUUUUGGUGGCAACCCCACAUGGCGCUGCAGUUACUCACAGUCUCAUGUAUCAAAAGCCCUCAGCAUUGCUGGCCCAGACCUCCUCCUUAACCAGAAUUACCCAGCUGAAGUUGGCAGUUACUGUUUCCAGAUAAGAUACCCAUCUGCCCUCUGCUUACAUAAGUGAGUGCUGAUACUCCAAGUAGUCUUUUCCCUUGGCAGAAGAGAAAACAAAGAAGGCUUACUGUAAAUAAAGAUGACUGUUUAAUUACCUUCUGA